CGGGCUGUAGUAUAGUGGUAGUAUACAUCCAUGGGGUGGAUGCGGUCCGGGUUCGAUUCCCGGCAGCCCGA
rnacentral:tRNA from 1 species